rnacentral:rRNA from 1 species
AACGAACGCUGGCGGCAGGCCUAACACAUGCAAGUCGAGCGAAGCCUUCGGGCUUAGCGGCGGACGGGUGAGUAACGCGUGGGAACGUGCCCUUUGGUACGGAAUAGCCCCGGGAAACUGGGGGUAAUACCGUAUGUGGUCGAGAGACGAAAGAUUUAUCGCCAAAGGAACGGCCCGCGUUGGAUGAGGUAGUUGGUGGGGUAAUGGCCUACCAAGCCGACGAUCCAUAGCUGGUUUGAGAGGAUGAUCAGCCACACUGGGACUGAGACACGGCCCAGACUCCUACGGGAGGCAGCAGUGGGGAAUCUUAGACAAUGGGGGAAACCCUGAUCUAGCCAUGCCGCGUGAUCGAUGAAGGCCUUAGGGUUGUAAAGAUCUUUCAGUGGGGAAGAUAAUGACUGUACCCACAGAAGAAGCCCCGGCUAACUCCGUGCCAGCCGCCGCAGUAAUAC